rnacentral:rRNA from 1 species
ACUACGAACGGGUGGAGCCUGCGGUUUAAGUUGGAUCAACGCCGGAAAUCUCACCGGGGCGACAGCAAUAUGAAGGUCAGGCUGAAGACCUUACCCGAUUAGCUGAGAGGUGGUGCAUGGCCGUCGUCAGUUCGUACUGUGAAGCAUCCUGUUAAGUCAGGCAACGAGCGAGACCCACGUCCACAGUUGCCAGCAUACCCUCCGGGGUGAUGGGUACACUGUGGAGACCGCCGCUGCUAAAGCGGAGGAAGGAGUGGGCAACGGUAGGUCAGUAUGCCCCGAAUCUCCCGGGCUACACGCGGGCUACAAUGGUUGGUACAAUGGGCAUCUACCCCGAAGGGGGAAGGAAAUCUCUUAAAGCCAAUCGUAGUUCGGAUUGAGGGCUGCAACUCGCCCUCAUGAAGCUGGAAUCCGUAGUAAUCGCGUUUCAACAGAACGCGGUGAAUACGUCCCUGCUCCUU